rnacentral:rRNA from 1 species
AACGAACGCUGGCGGCAUGCCUAACACAUGCAAGUCGAACGAGACCUUCGGGUCUAGUCUCGCACGGGUUCGUAACGCGUGGGAACCUGCCCUUAGGUUUGGCCUAACUCCCCGAAUGGGGUGCCAAUAGCGGAUAAUAUCUUCGGACCAAAGAUGUAUUGCCUUUGGAUGGGCCAGCGUGGGAUUAGCUAUUUGGUAGGGUAAAAGCCUACCAAGGCGUCGAUCCGUAGCUGGUUAGAGAGGAUGAUCAGCCACACUGGGACUGAGACACGGCCCAGACUCCUACGGGAGGCAGCAGUGGGUAAUAUUGGACAGUGGGCGAAAGCCUGAUGCAGCAAUGCCGCGUGAGUGAUGAAGGCCGUAGGGUUGUAAAGCUCUUUUACCCGGGAUGAUAAUGACGGUACCGGGAGAAUAAGCUCCGGCUAACUACGUG